UACGUAGGGUGCGAGCGUUGUCCGGAAUUAUUGGGCGUAAAGAGCUUGUAGGCGGUUUGUCGCGUCUGCUGUGAAAAUCCGGGGCUCAACCCCGGACUUGCAGUGGGUACGGGCAGACUAGAGUGUGGUAGGGGAGACUGGAAUUCCUGGUGUAGCGGUGAAAUGCGCAGAUAUCAGGAGGAACACCGGUGGCGAAGGCGGUUCUCUGGGCCUGUACUGACGCUGGAGGAGCGAAAGCGUGGGGAGCGAACAGG
rnacentral:rRNA from 1 species